UGCAGGAGAUCCAUUUGCCAAACUGGAGUGGCCCUGCAGGCAGUCCAGAGUCUGGGAGCCAUGCAGUUUUCCCCGGACUAUGCUUUGAACAGGUGGGACAAGCAAGAGGUCUGAGAAGAGGAGCAGAAGAGCAGAUGAUCCACAUAUUGGAACAAAGUAGAGCCUGCAGGAAAGCUUCUGUCGUCUGAAUCCUCUUUUAAGAAUGGCAAGGCAGCUGGGAAGUAAAGUGUGUGACCAUCAGCGGGCGCUCGGCUCCUGGCAUUCCCGAGGACCGCAGGGCAAUGGGUCUCCAGUGUCCAUCUCUGACUUGCAACUGGUCCCUGCCUGGAAGUCUGCAGCCUCCAGAAAGAAGCCACACUUGGCUGGACAUGGGGAGAGGCGGGGAGAACAGGUGAGGGACCCCACCUGUGAAGGCCAGGCAGAAGGAAGCAGCACCGAGCACACAGAGAAGA